rnacentral:rRNA from 1 species
GACAUAGGUCGCGAACGUUAUCCGGAAUUAUUGGGCGUAAAGGAUGCGUAGAUGAUUCGAUAAGUUACUGGUGGGAAAUCGAGGCCCAACCUCGUGGAAGUUAGUAAUACUGUUGAACUUGAGUGCGGGAGAGGUUAACGGAACUUUAUGUGGAGCGGUAAAAUGCGUAGAUAUAUGAAAGAACAUCAAUAUGGCGAAAGCAGUUAACUAUUCUGCUACUGACAUUGAGGCAUGAAAGCGUGGGGAGCAAAACGG